CAGCCGAACUCGUUGACUACUCCGUUUCCUCCCAGGCGGCCGUCGGUUCACUUCCUGCUUGUCCAACUUUCAGCCCGCCCCCGCCCACCUCGCGUCCCAGCGGCUCCGGCCACACCUCGCUCAGGUUCUCCAGGUGCUGAUCCUGACCUCAGAGGGUGGUGGUAUGGAGUAAAAGAAAAGCUUACGCCAUGUACCUAGCACAGCCUGGAACAAAGGGCUGCCCACUGCUCCAAUCAGGAAAUGCUGGGUCACCAACUCUCCUAUUCUAGAGUUCAACCGUCCUGCACGUCCCUUCGGGGGCCACCUCGAGUGUUAGGGAACCCCAACAGAAAUGAGCAAAUGACUGCCCUCUUGACCAGAGAGGGGGCCCAGGGCAAAGGAUUUUUCCACUGACCUGGCUGCAGGCCAGAGAAAAUCCACCCUUCCCGGAUGGUGUUUAUCAAGACAGAAGAACAAUAACAGACCCGUUCAGAAGGAAACAAACAUUCCUGUCCCAUCCCAGAAGUAACAGUUCCAAGAGGGAAAUGGCAGCUUCUCUUGACAAAUGCUUUUUUUUUUUUUUUUUGACAAACACUUUUUUAAAGAGCUUAGUAAACUUUGGACAUCCGUAGCAUUUGGAGACCCUUUAUUCUAGCUUCCCAGGUGGUGCUAGUGGUAAGGGACCCAUCUGCCAAUGCAGGGGACAGAAAGAGAUGCAGGUUCCAUCGCUCUGUCAUAAUAUCCCCUGGAGGAGGGCAUGGCAACCCACUCUGGUAUUCUUGCCUGGAGAAUCCCAUGGACAGAGGAACCUGAUGGGCUACAGUCCACGAUCUGCAAAGAGUCACACACGACUGAAGUGACUUUGCAUGCACGCACCUGAAUUUUGGUGGAUAGUAUCAGCCUGCUUUCACAGAGAACGUGGUACCCCACUCCUCAUCAUUCUUAGAAAGGCAACAAUGAAGCCAAGCAGAGUACUUGUGAGACCAGAUUUCCUUCAUAUACUUCAAUCACAACAGAUGGAAUGCAGAAACAGAAAUGAGAAUCCAGCUUUCUUCAAUUAAGCCAGGCAUUAAAGAGAUCUGCAUGUAAAACAAUCCUAUUCUCAUAUAUUUUUUAGUGUGGAAAAUAUAUUUUUUCAUAAAAAUGUUAUUGAUGUAAACAUGUAAUGGGUUCAUUACUUUUUUUCCUUUUAGUGAAUCAAUGCAUAUUUCAAACAUUUCUCAGGGUAAAUUUCCAAGAGGGUAAAUAUGGAAAAAUAUAACUUAUUAUUCAUAAAAAGCUCUUUAGGGUUCUCAAUAAUGUAUGUAGCAACGUAAAGGGGUCCUGAGACUAAAAAGUGUGAGAACCCCUGCACUAAGAUGCCUUCCUCGGAUCCUGCUUGUCAAUUCCAAGGCAGAGAAACAAUGUUACAAAGCUGUUCAAGACUCACCUUACCCAACCAAACACACUCUAUUCACUAUCCCUACUCUGCAUUCUUUCUGCAGUCAGGUCGUUCCGGUUUUCCUGCUGCUUUCAAACCUCUGGUUCCAGGCCGGGACAGCCCUCCCAGGUGCAUCCUCAACUGGGCUGGAAACUCUUCUGGGAAGAGUCUGACUUUUGCGCCCGCACUGUUCACACAUCUGCAGCGACCUAACAGGGGCGGGAAGGGACCCAGAGAGGUCGUGGGCGCCCAGAGUCUUCUUUAGGUUGAUAGAACGGAGAGGGCUCGGGAGGCCUCAGGGACGAGACUUGACAGAAAAAGAGACAGGUCCGCGUACACCUUCACUCCUCGGUCACCAGAGAA